UACGAAGGGGGCUAGCGUUGUUCGGAAUUACUGGGCGUAAAGCGUGCGCAGGCGGCCAUCCAAGUCAGUGGUGAAAGCCCGGAGCUCAACUCCGGAAUUGCCAUUGAAACUGUUUGGCUCGGAGUACGAGAGAGGUGAGUGGAAUUCCCAGUGUAGAGGUGAAAUUCGUAGAUAUUGGGAAGAACACCGGUGGCGAAGGCGGCUCACUGGCUCGUAACUGACGCUCAUGCACGACAGCGUGGGGAUCAAACAGG
rnacentral:rRNA from 1 species